UAUAUAUAUAUGUGUGUGUGUGUAUAUACUAUAAUAUAUUAAACAAAACUCUAUCUGAGCAGCGUGACUGAUAAGUUUAACUGAGGUAAGGCAUAGCAGGAAAUAUCCUGCACAUAAUCUGGAGCAGCCCGACUCAACCUCGACCUUACAGAAGAUCACAGCUAAAUAAUACUGCUUUCAAGCAAUGUUUUGUUCCUGUGUUGUGUAAGGUUAGUAACGGAGCUCCUGGGGGUUUGGAUGAGUUGUACGCUUGUUUGCCGACCUUAAUGU